CUAAACUCUGCUCAGUGAGCAGCAGACUCCUCUCAAGAUUGUCAAUCUCCCUCAGUGUUACAAUUUCCCUCUCCAGAUCUCUAAUCUGAGCUUCCAGAAAUGCCACUCGCUCACACCCACCACAGAGGUAUGGACCCUGGAUAGAAUCAUCCAGGCAUGCAUACAUGUGGCAUGAUGUGCACUGAGUUAAACUCACAAUCUUGCUAGCAC